rnacentral:lncRNA from 1 species
CCUCCCCACCUCCCCACUCAUUGUUUAGCCUGUCCGCCGCGCGCCCUGUGACCUCCUGGGACGAGGACGAAGGACUGGCCUCCCCGCCUCAGAGCCUCCACCAGCCUCCGUGGAGAGAAGCGAGCGGCUUGGCGUUAAAUCCUUAGCUCCCUUCGGACUUGAAUACUUGGUUUUCUUUCUCUCUUUCUCCGACUCCUGAGUUGGAAUCCUCCUCUGGCCCAGCUUCUCAGGCGGCACCACUGUGCAGCUGGGACAACAGGCGCGGACCCGCUAGAUAGGGGGUGCGCUUCUGGUUUGGGAGGUCCCAGGCCUCAGGAGCUACUCCCCAGCCCUGUUCACGUCUUCUUCUUUCAAUAUUUAUCUUUUAGUUGUAGGUGGACACAUGGCUUUAUUCUACUUUAUGUGCUGCUGAGGGCCUCACCUGGGCUAGGUGCUGCUCUACCUCUGAGCCCCAGCCCCAGGCCCCCUGUACACUUCUUUUUUAACAUUUAUUCCUCGUCGUUGGACACAGUAUCUUUAUUUUAUUUACUUAUUUUUAUGUGGUGUUGAGGAUCGAACCCAGGGCCCUGCACCUGCGAGGUGAGUGCUCUACCGCUGAGCCCCAGCCCCAGCCCAUGUACACGUCUUUACAUAAGUAUUUUAUACCUGGAAUUUUGAAAAUCAUUCUGCAAACUGGGCAUGGUGACGCACACCUGUAAUCCCAGCAAGUAGGGAGGCCGAGGCAGGAGGAUUCCGAGUUCAGGCCAGCCUCAGCAAUGUAUCAGGGCCCUCAAGGACUUUGCAAGACUGUCUCAAAUUAAGAAACAAUCACACCUGGGGGUGCAGCUCAGCGGUAGAGUGCCCUGGGUUCAAUCCCUACUGCAAAGAAAGAAAGAAAGAAAGAAAGGGAGGGAGGGAGGGAGGGAGGGAGGGAAAAUUUAGAAGCAUGAUUCCUGAUUUUAAAUUUUCUUUUUUCUCUUUCUUGCCGGGCUGGCCUGGAAGCUGCGAUCCUCCUGCCUCAGCUCCUGCCCACUUCCACCAAGUCACUGGGAUCGUAGGCAUGAGCCACUCACCCAGUUGCCUUUUAAAAAUUUCUGUAGUUGGCACAGAUGUUCACACAUAUUUGUGGGGCGUUGUACAAUAGUUCAGCACGUGUAUCAAUGUGUAGUGACCACAUCAGGGUUUGGGAAACUUCAGGCUCUUUUCUAGUUUUUUUUUUUUAAGCUGUUGAUGGACCUUCAUUUUGUUUGUUCAUUUAUACUCAGUGCUGAGAAUCAGACCCAGUGCCUGACAUGUGCCAGGCAAGCGCUCUACCAGAGCCCCGCCCCCGCCCUCGAGUUAUUCUGAAAUACCUCACAAUCUGUUGACUAGUUAAAGUGCUAGGAAACUCGAGAUCGAGAUCCUGCCACAGCUGCCUGGUACCUGUUUCCUCCCCUCUCUAUUUCCUCCCCCCAGGUCUCUGCUGACCCUGAUUCUCCUCUUCUAUGAGAUCAACAUUUUUAGCAUCCAUUUAAAAAUGGAUGAGAACGUGCAGUAUUUGCCUUUCUUGACUUUUCUUGUGUAAAUAUUAUUGGCAGCUAAGCUUUACAUUUCCUCUUUUUUUUUUUUCUUGUACGGGAGAUAGAACCUGGGGCUCUUUGCCACUGAGCUACAUCUCCAGCCCUCUUGUAUUUUUUAAGGCAAGGUCUUGCUACAUUGCUGAAGGCCUCACUAAAGUUGCUGAGGCUGUCCUCAAACUUGCCAUCCUCCUGCCUCAGCCUCCCCAGUUGCUGGGAUUACAGAUAAGGGCCAUGGUGCCCUAGUAUAGGUUUACUAUUAUAAGAACUGCAAAGUUGUUUUGUAAAGUAGUUAUUCUGUUUUAUUUUUCUACUGGCACUAGGUAAAUUUGUUUCUCUGCAGCGAUCAACACUUGGAAUUGUCUUUCAUUUCAACUCUCCUAGCGCCCAGUAUCCGAGUCACCUUGUGGUUUUAAGGUGUCCUUCCUUCCCUUAUGGCUGAAGACAUUGAGCAUCUUUUUUUUUUUUAAUGUGGUUAUUGGCUAUUCAAAUAUCUUCUUUUGUGAAGUAAGCCCUCCAAUAUUUUGCCCAUUUUCAAUUAAAUUUUUUUUAAUUUUUGUUGUUUUACUGAAGAGGCACAAACGUUCAGUGAGAGAAGAUGAAUAAAUGGGAGCAAAGUCCACUCAGCACCCUCCAGAGAGUCGUCAAAAUAUUUGCAGUAGGGGCUGGGGCUGGGGCUGGGGCUGGGGCUCAGCGGUAGAGCUCUCCCCUAGCAAGGGUGAGGCCCUGGAUUCGGUCCUCAGCACCACAUAAAGAUAAAUAAAUAAAACAGAGGUUUCGGGUCCAUCUGCAACUGAAAUUAUUUUAAAAAAAUAUUUGCAAUAAACACUCCCAGGAUUUUCUAGAGACUUCCACACAUGGCAAUGGGUGAACAAGUUAAUCCUUACUAGAAAGGGUGGAGGAUGGGAAAGGGGAAGAUGUUUACAAAGCAGCCAGAGAAGAGGCCUGUUCCCAGACCAUUCCAAAUCCGCACUCAGGUCUGGGUGCCACCCUUCAGCGAGGUCAGUGGAAAACGGCACAGAGAAAACCAGUAUCCCAGACAGAGAACUGAACAGGAAAUCGCAGCUCUUGAAUGUGUUUGGAGAGAAGACAGAUGAGGUGGGCAAGGACUGAGCUUUGGGGUUUUGUUUUUUUAAAAAAUACAUAUCUUUGCUGGUUGUGGUGGCAAAGAUAUAAAAUACAAAAAAAAAAAAAAGUGUGAGUGAGUAUAUGAAAUAUUGCCAGGCAUGGUGGCACAAGCCUGUAGUCCCAGCAACUUGAGAGCCUUAGGCAGGAGGAUCUCAAGUUCAAGGCCAGCCUCAGCAACUCAGCGAGACCCUGUCUUUAAAAAAAAAUAUGAAAAAUGGCUGGGGAUGUGGCUCAGUAGUUAAACGCCCCUGGGUUUAACCCCCAGGACCCCCAAAAAAGUUCUCUAUCUCUGUCUUUCUUGAUAUUCCCCCUAUAGUGUUCGCACAGAAGCUCCUUUAGAGAAACCAGAAAGGCCCCAUCGCUGCCCCUGAUUGAAGUUGAGACCUACGGGACACACAGCUGUUUUUAUUCCAUUUUAUCCGAUUCUCAUUUGGUAUCUGAGCUCCCACAUUCUCCUGAUCGUGCCUCACGCAUCACAGGUGGCCAGAUCAGUUUGACAUCAUCAAAUACUUUCCUACCGCUGGUGGGAGGGAGGAAUCAGAGACCAGUGUCCCUGUGUCCAGAGGGGCAGCGUUACUGUUCAAGAUCCAGGCAUGCGGCAGCCCCAUGCUGCAUGGACGCACAUGCUUAGUGCCCCUCCCCUGGGCAUGGUCCCUGUGGUUAGUGAUCCAGAAAAGGCCUCUGCUCACAGGUGUUGCCAAGCAACACCUGCCUCUGCCCCUCCCCCCCCUUCUUCUUCUUUGUACUGGGAGUUGGACCCAGGGGUGCUCUACCAUUAACCUACACCUACAGCCCUUUUUAUGCUUUAUUUUGAGAUACAAUCUUGCUAAGUUGCUGAAGCUAGCCUCGAACUUGGGAUCCUCCUGCCUCAGCCUCCCAAGUGGCUGGGAUCACAGGUGCACGCCUCCACACCCAACUCCUCCACUCUGCUUUUCCACCCACUGUGCCCCUGAGUCUGCGGAUGUGUCGGGACCAUAUCAACAGCUUAUAAAGCCCGGCUUUCCUAGGACUGGAUUCUGCAAACCAUUUUCUCAGACCAAGUCACCAGUUUCAAGUUCCAUUGCUCCGGGUCAGAGAUGAGACAGGAGCCCAUGGUGGAAGUGUGUGUUGGAGGGAAGAAGACCAGCUCAUGACAGCCAGAGAGCACGGCACUUUUGUCCACUUUUGAAUGGAGCCAUUUGUCGGAAUUGAAGAAGUUGUCUUGUAUUCUGGAGAAAGUCCUUUGUCAGAGGUGAGUGUUGCUAAUAUCGUCUGUGACUCGCCUGUUCAUCUUCUUAACAAUGACUCUGAAUUUUUUUUUUUUUCUUUUCGCAGUGCUGAGAAUGGAACCCAGGUCUCCUGGCGCAGGCUGGGUCAACACUCCACCCCUGAGCCACAUCUCCAGCAGCCAAGUCUUAAAUUUUGAUAAUUCCAUUUUGUUCUUAAAUUGUAUGUGCUUUGUGUCUUCUUCUUAAAAAAUCAAUCGCUUUUUUAAAAAAAAUCUCACAGGGAGGAACUGGGGCUAUGGCCCAGCGGUAGUGUACUUGCCUGGCAUGUGUGAGGCACUGGGUUCAAUUCUUAGCACCACCUAUAAAUAAAAUAAAGGUCUAUCAACAACUAAAAAAAUAUUAAAAAAAAAUCUCAC